GAUGAACGCUGGCGGCGUGCCUAAUACAUGCAAGUCGAGCGAACAGACGAGGAGCUUGCUCCUCUGACGUUAGCGGCGGACGGGUGAGUAACACGUGGAUAACCUACCUAUAAGACUGGGAUAACUUCGGGAAACCGGAUCUAAUACCGGAUAAUAUAUUGAACCGCAUGGUUCAAUAGUGAAAGACGGUUUUGCUGUCACUGAUAGAUGGAUCCGCGCCGAAUUAGCUAGUUGGUAAGGUAACGGCUUACCAAGGCAACGAUGCGUAGCCGACCUGAGAGGGUGAUCGGCCACACUGGAACUGAGACACGGUCCAGACUCCUACGGGAGGCAGCAGUAGGGAAUCUUCCGCAAUGGGCGAAAGCCUGACGGAGCAACGCCGCGUGAGUGCUGAAGGUCUUCGGAUCGUAAAACUAUGUUAUUAGGGAAGAACAAAUGUGUAAGUAACUAUGCACGUCUUGACGGUACCUAAUCAGAAAGCCACGGCUAACUACGUG
rnacentral:rRNA from 1 species